UACGGAGGGUGCAAGCGUUAUCCGGAUUCACUGGGUUUAAAGGGUGCGUAGGUGGAUCUGUAAGUCAGUGGUGAAAUCUCCAAGCUUAACUUGGAAACUGCCGUUGAUACUAUAGAUCUUGAAUGCUGUGGAGGUGAGCGGAAUAUGUCAUGUAGCGGUGAAAUGCUUAGAUAUGACAUAGAACACCCAUUGCGAAGGCAGCUCGCUACACUAUCAUUGACGCUGAGGCACGAAAGCGUGGGGAUCAAACAGG
rnacentral:rRNA from 1 species